GUCCUGGUGGUCUAGUGGUUAACAUUCGGCGCUCUUACUGCCGAGGCCUGGGUUUGUUUCCCAGUCAGGGAA
rnacentral:tRNA from 1 species